rnacentral:sRNA from 29 species
UGGAUUUAUUUCCAUUUAGAUAUAUGCUCAUCAUUUAUUGAUGAGAUAAUUUUAAUUAGUCGUGUGUGCUUAUGCUCGUGAGGGUGUCAGUAUACAAAAUUUUAAAGUUGAGU